GGAGCAGGUAGGGGUUAGACAGUACAGAGACAGGUCAUUAAGGAGCAGGGAGGGGUUAGACAGUACAGAGACAGGUCAUUAAGGAGCAGGUAGGGGUUAGACAGUACAGAGACAGGUCAUUAAGGAGCAGGUAGGGGUUAGACAGUACAGAGACAGGUCGUUAAGGAGCAGGUAGGGGUUAGACAGUACAGAGACAGGUCAUUAAGGAGCAGGUAGGGGUUAGACAGUACAGAGACAGGUCAUUAAGGAGCAGGUAGGGGUUAGACAGUACAGAGACGGGUCAUUAAGGAGCAGGUAGGGGUUAGACAGUACAGAGACAGGUCGUUAAGGAGCAGGUAGGGGUUAGACAGUACAGAGACAGGUCAUUAAGGAGCAGGUAGGGGUUAGACAGUACAGAGACAGGUCAUUAAGGAGCAGGUAGGCGUUAGACAGUACAGAGACAGGUCAUUAAGGAGCAGGUAGGGGUUAGACAGUACAGAGACAGGUCAUUAAGGAGCAGGUAGGGGUUAGACAGUACAGAGACAGGUCAUUAAGGAGCAGCUAGGGGUUAGACAGUACAGAGACAGGUCACUAAGGAGCAGCUAGGGGUUAGACAGUACAGAGACAGGUCACUAAG
ensembl:lncRNA